CGACCGAUCUUGAAAGCCUAGGUCCUGACCGACUUUAUUGUGGAGUGCUCGAUGACCGAUCAAAGAUCGGAAGGCGGGAGCUCCGGAGAAAUUGCAAUCUCCGAACCUGACCCCGAGGCCACCUGGGUGUUGCACAUCGACGGAGCUUCCAACGCUCGAGGGAGCUGGGUCGGGUUUCUGCUCACCAACUCGGAGGGAGUGGUUACCGAGUAUGCCCU
rnacentral:lncRNA from 1 species